rnacentral:rRNA from 1 species
AUUGAACGCUGGCGGCAGGCCUAACACAUGCAAGUCGAGCGGAUGAAGGGAGCUUGCUCCUGGAUUCAGCGGCGGACGGGUGAGUAAUGCCUAGGAAUCUGCCUGGUAGUGGGGGAUAACGUCCGGAAACGGGCGCUAAUACCGCAUACGUCCUGAGGGAGAAAGUGGGGGAUCUUCGGACCUCACGCUAUCAGAUGAGCCUAGGUCGGAUUAGCUAGUUGGUGGGGUAAAGGCCUACCAAGGCGACGAUCCGUAACUGGUCUGAGAGGAUGAUCAGUCACACUGGAACUGAAACACGGUCCAGACUCCUACGGGAGGCAGCAGUGGGGAAUAUUGGACAAUAGGCGAAAGCCUGAUCCAGCCAUGCCGCGUGUGUGAAGAAGGUCUUCGGAUUGUAAAGCACUUUAAGUUGGGAGGAAGGGCAGUAAGUUAAUACCUUGCUGUUUUGACGUUACCAACAGAAUAAGCACCGGCUAACUUCGUG